rnacentral:rRNA from 1 species
GUGCCAGCCGCCGCGGUAAUACCGGUAGCUCGAGUGAUGUCCAAUAUUAUUGGGCCUAAAGCGUCCGUAGCUGGCCGCGCAAGUCCGUCGGGAAAUCCACCUGCCCAACAGGUGGGCGUCCGGCAGAAACUGUGUGGCUUGGAACCGGAAGGCUCGAAGGGUACGUUCGGGGUAGGAGUGAAAUCCCAUAAUCCCGCACGGACCACCGAUGGCGAAAGCACUUCGAGAAAACGGAUCCGACAGUGAGGGACGAAAGCCAGGGUCUCCAACCGGAUUAGAUACCCCGGUAGUCC